rnacentral:rRNA from 1 species
UACAGAGGUGGCAAGCGUUGUUCGGAAUUACUGGGCGUAAAGGGCGCGUAGGCGGCCUUCUAAGUCAGACGUGAAAUCCCCCGGCUUAACCUGGGAACUGCGUCUGAUACUGGGAGGCUUGAGUAUGGGAGAGGGAUGUAGAAUUCCACGUGUAGCGGUGAAAUGCGUAGAGAUGUGGAGGAACACCAGUGGCGAAGGCGGCUCUCUGGCCUGUAACUGACGCUGAGGCGCGAAAGCGUGGGGAGCAAACAGG